rnacentral:rRNA from 1 species
UCCCGUACACCAAAAUGCACAGGCUGUGAACUCGAAGAGUAGGGCGGGACACGUGGUAUCCUGUCUGAAUAUGGGGGGACCAUCCUCCAAGGCUAAAUACUCCUGACUGACCGAUAGUGAACCAGUACCGUGAGGGAAAGGCGAAAAGAACCCCGGCGAGGGGAGUGAAAAAGAACCUGAAACCGUGUACGUACAAGCAGUGGGAGCACCUUCGGGUGUGACUGCGUACCUUUUGUAUAAUGGGUCAGCGACUUAUAUUCUGUAGCAAGGUUAACCGUAUAGGGGAGCCGCAGGGAAACCGAGUCUUAACUGGGCGUUAAGUUGCAGGGUAUAGACCCGAAACCCGGUGAUCUAGCCAUGGGCAGGUUGAAGGUUGGGUAACACUAACUGGAGGACCGAACCGACUAAUGUUGAAAAAUUAGCGGAUGACUUGUGGCUGGGGGUGAAAGGCCAAUCAAACCGGGAGAUAGCUGGUUCUCCCCGAAAGCUAUUUAGGUAGCGCCUCGUGAACUCAUCUUCGGGGGUAGAGCACUGUUUCGGCUAGGGGGUCAUCCCGACUUACCAACCCGAUGCAAACUACGAAUACCGAAGAAUGUUAUCACGGGAGACACACGGCGGGUGCUAACGUCCGUCGUGAAGAGGGAAACAACCCAGACCGCCAGCUAAGGUCCCAAAGUCAUGGUUAAGUGGGAAACGAUGUGGGAAGGCACAGACAGCCAGGAUGUUGGCUUAGAAGCAGCCAUCAUUUAAAGAAAGCGUAAUAGCUCACUGGUCGAGUCGGCCUGCGCGGAAGAUGUAACGGGGCUAAACCAUGCACCGAAGCUGCGGCAGCGACACUAUGUGUUGUUGGGUAGGGGAGCGUUCUGUAAGCCUGCGAAGGUGUGCUGUGAGGCAUGCUGGAGGUAUCAGAAGUGCGAAUGCUGACAUAAGUAACGAUAAAGCGGGUGAAAAGCCCGCUCGCCGGAAGACCAAGGGUUCCUGUCCAACGUUAAUCGGGGCAGGGUGAGUCGACCCCUAAGGCGAGGCCGAAAGGCGUAGUCGAUGGGAAACAGGUUAAUAUUCCUGUACUUGGUGUUACUGCGAAGGGGGGACGGAGAAGGCUAUGUUAGCCGGGCGACGGUUGUCCCGGUUUAAGCAUGUAGGCUGAUUGUCCAGGCAAAUCCGGAUAAUCAAGGCUGAGGUGUGAUGACGAGGCACUACGGUGCUGAAGUAACAAAUGCCCUGCUUCCAGGAAAAGCCUCUAAGCAUCAGGUAACAUCAAAUCGUACCCCAAACCGACACAGGUGGUCAGGUAGAGAAUACCAAGGCGCUUGAGAGAACUCGGGUGAAGGAACUAGGCAAAAUGGUGCCGUAACUUCGGGAGAAGGCACGCUGGUGUGUAGGUGAAGUCCCUGCGGAUGGAGCUGAGACCAGUCGAAGAUACCAGCUGGCUGCAACUGUUUAUUAAAAACACAGCACUGUGCAAACACGAAAGUGGACGUAUACGGUGUGACGCCUGCCCGGUGCCGGAAGGUUAAUUGAUGGGGUUAUCCGUAAGGAGAAGCUCUUGAUCGAAGCCCCGGUAAACGGCGGCCGUAACUAUAACGGUCCUAAGGUAGCGAAAUUCCUUGUCGGGUAAGUUCCGACCUGCACGAAUGGCGUAAUGAUGGCCAGGCUGUCUCCACCCGAGACUCAGUGAAAUUGAACUCGCUGUGAAGAUGCAGUGUACCCGCGGCAAGACGGAAAGACCCCGUGAACCUUUACUAUAGCUUGACACUGAACAUUGAGCCUUGAUGUGUAGGAUAGGUGGGAGGCUUUGAAGCGUGGACGCCAGUCUGCGUGGAGCCAACCUUGAAAUACCACCCUUUAAUGUUUGAUGUUCUAACGUUGGCCCCUGACCGGGGUUGCGGACAGUGUCUGGUGGGUAGUUUGACUGGGGCGGUCUCCUCCCAAAGCGUAACGGAGGAGCACGAAGGUUAGCUAAUCCUGGUCGGACAUCAGGAGGUUAGUGCAAUGGCAUAAGCUAGCUUGACUGCGAGCGUGACGGCGCGAGCAGGUGCGAAAGCAGGUCAUAGUGAUCCGGUGGUUCUGAAUGGAAGGGCCAUCGCUCAACGGAUAAAAGGUACUCCGGGGAUAACAGGCUGAUACCGCCCAAGAGUUCAUAUCGACGGCGGUGUUUGGCACCUCGAUGUCGGCUCAUCACAUCCUGGGGCUGAAGUAGGUCCCAAGGGUAUGGCUGUUCGCCAUUUAAAGUGGUACGCGAGCUGGGUUUAGAACGUCGUGAGACAGUUCGGUCCCUAUCUGCCGUGGGCGCUGGAGAAUUGAGGGGGGCUGCUCCUAGUACGAGAGGACCGGAGUGGACGCAUCACUGGUGUUCGGGUUGUCAUGCCAAUGGCACUGCCCGGUAGCUAAAUGCGGAAGAGAUAAGUGCUGAAAGCAUCUAAGCACGAAACUUGCCCCGAGAUGAGUUCUCCCUGAGACUUUAAGUCUCCUGAAGGAACGUUAAAGACGAUGACGUUGAUAGGCCGGGUGUGUAAGCGCAGCGAUGCGUUGAGCUAACCGGUACUAAUGAACCGUGAGGCUUAACCUU